GUUCGGGAUAGCCACUGGAAACGGUGAUUAAUACCGGAUACUCCUUCUUGUUAUAAGACAAGUCGGGAAAGUUUUUCGCUAAGGGAUCAGUCUAUGUUCCAUCAGCUUGUUGGUGAGGUAAUGGCUCACCAAGGCUAUGACGGAUAUCUGGUUUGAGAGGAUGAUCAGACACACUGGAACUGAGACACGGUCCAGACUCCUACGGGAGGCAGCAGUGAGGAAUAUUGCACAAUGGAGGAAACUCUGAUGCAGCAACGCCGCGUGGAGGAUGACGCAUUUCGGUGUGUAAACUCCUUUUAUUAGGGAAGAUAAUGACGGUACCUAAUGAAUAAGCACCGGCUAACUCCGUGCCAGCAGCCGCGGUAAUACGGAGGGUGCAAGCGUUACUCGGAAUCACUGGGCGUAAAGGGUGCGUAGGCUGGCUUUUAAGUCAGAUGUGAAAUCCAAUGGCUCAACCAUUGAACUGCAUUUGAAACUGAAAGCCUAGAGUUCAGAAGGGGCAGAUGGAAUUAGUGGUG
rnacentral:rRNA from 1 species